rnacentral:rRNA from 1 species
AUGCACAUAUUGUGAGCUCGAUGAGUAGGGCGGGACACGUGGUAUCCUGUCUGAAUAUGGGGGGACCAUCCUCCAAGGCUAAAUACUCCUGACUGACCGAUAGUGAACCAGUACCGUGAGGGAAAGGCGAAAAGAACCCCGGCGAGGGGAGUGAAAAAGAACCUGAAACCGUGUACGUACAAGCAGUGGGAGCCUCUUUUAUGGGGUGACUGCGUACCUUUUGUAUAAUGGGUCAGCGACUUAUAUUCUGUAGCAAGGUUAACCGAAUAGGGGAGCCGAAGGGAAACCGAGUCUUAACUGGGCGUUAAGUUGCAGGGUAUAGACCCGAAACCCGGUGAUCUAGCCAUGGGCAGGUUGAAGGUUGGGUAACACUAACUGGAGGACCGAACCGACUAAUGUUGAAAAAUUAGCGGAUGACUUGUGGCUGGGGGUGAAAGGCCAAUCAAACCGGGAGAUAGCUGGUUCUCCCCGAAAGCUAUUUAGGUAGCGCCUCGUGAAUUCAUCUCCGGGGGUAGAGCACUGUUUCGGCAAGGGGGUCAUCCCGACUUACCAACCCGAUGCAAACUGCGAAUACCGGAGAAUGUUAUCACGGGAGACACACGGCGGGUGCUAACGUCCGUCGUGAAGAGGGAAACAACCCAGACCGCCAGCUAAGGUCCCAAAGUCAUGGUUAAGUGGGAAACGAUGUGGGAAGGCCCAGACAGCCAGGAUGUUGGCUUAGAAGCAGCCAUCAUUUAAAGAAAGCGUAAUAGCUCACUGGUCGAGUCGGCCUGCGCGGAAGAUGUAACGGGGCUAAACCAUGCACCGAAGCUGCGGCAGCGACGCUUAUGCGUUGUUGGGUAGGGGAGCGUUCUGUAAGCCUGUGAAGGUGUGCUGUGAGGCAUGCUGGAGGUAUCAGAAGUGCGAAUGCUGACAUAAGUAACGAUAAAGCGGGUGAAAAGCCCGCUCGCCGGAAGACCAAGGGUUCCUGUCCAACGUUAAUCGGGGCAGGGUGAGUCGACCCCUAAGGCGAGGCCGAAAGGCGUAGUCGAUGGGAAACAGGUUAAUAUUCCUGUACUUGGUGUUACUGCGAAGGGGGGACGGAGAAGGCUAUGUUGGCCGGGCGACGGUUGUCCCGGUUUAAGCGUGUAGGCUGGUUUUCCAGGCAAAUCCGGAAAAUCAAGGCUGAGGCGUGAUGACGAGGCACUACGGUGCUGAAGCAACAAAUGCCCUGCUUCCAGGAAAAGCCUCUAAGCAUCAGGUAACAUCAAAUCGUACCCCAAACCGACACAGGUGGUCAGGUAGAGAAUACCAAGGCGCUUGAGAGAACUCGGGUGAAGGAACUAGGCAAAAUGGUGCCGUAACUUCGGGAGAAGGCACGCUGAUAUGUAGGUGAAGUCCCUCGCGGAUGGAGCUGAAAUCAGUCGAAGAUACCAGCUGGCUGCAACUGUUUAUUAAAAACACAGCACUGUGCAAACACGAAAGUGGACGUAUACGGUGUGACGCCUGCCCGGUGCCGGAAGGUUAAUUGAUGGGGUCAGCGCAAGCGAAGCUCUUGAUCGAAGCCCCGGUAAACGGCGGCCGUAACUAUAACGGUCCUAAGGUAGCGAAAUUCCUUGUCGGGUAAGUUCCGACCUGCACGAAUGGCGUAAUGAUGGCCAGGCUGUCUCCACCCGAGACUCAGUGAAAUUGAACUCGCUGUGAAGAUGCAGUGUACCCGCGGCAAGACGGAAAGACCCCGUGAACCUUUACUAUAGCUUGACACUGAACAUUGAGCCUUGAUGUGUAGGAUAGGUGGGAGGCUUUGAAGUGUGGACGCCAGUCUGCAUGGAGCCGACCUUGAAAUACCACCCUUUAAUGUUUGAUGUUCUAACGUUGACCCGUAAUCCGGGUUGCGGACAGUGUCUGGUGGGUAGUUUGACUGGGGCGGUCUCCUCCUAAAGAGUAACGGAGGAGCACGAAGGUUGGCU